UACAGAGGGUGCAAGCGUUAAUCGGAGUUACUGGGCGUAAAGGGCGCGUAGGCGGUUUAGUAAGUGAGAUGUGAAAGCCCUGGGCUUAACCUAGGAACUGCAUCUUAUACUGUUAGACUAGAGUACUGUAGAGGGUAGUGGAAUUUCCGGUGUAGCGGUGAAAUGCGUAGAGAUCGGAAGGAACACCAGUGGCGAAGGCGGCUACCUGGACAGAUACUGACGCUGAGGCGCGAGAGCGUGGGGAGCAAACAGG
rnacentral:rRNA from 1 species